UUAAAAGCUAUACAUCAAAUACCUGGCAGAGACAGAAUUCAAUCCUAGGACUUGGUGAAUCCUAGAGUCAGGUUUCUAGUGGCCCUUGAGAUGAUGUCAUAUUACCUCAUCUAACAGCAUCUCACUCUAUAUCUCUGCCUUUCCUUUUCUUGAAGCAUUGGAAAAAAAAAAAAAACUUGCAACUGUACAUUUUUUCUCUGUCUUUUUGAGAUGUAAAUCAUCUUUCAGCCUCUUGCCAUUUUUACAACCCAGAAAUCCCUUUCUCAAGGGCUUGGGAGUCAUUUCUUGGAAACACUAUCAUUACAAAAGAUGAAGACCCUAUCUCCUCCUCCUCUCUGUGGGAGGGCAGGAUCCUAACUUAGAUUGGAAGCAGCAUGAGUCCCUCACCAGAAGCAACAACUCAGACAGGAGACUUGACUAUGUUUACAUGCCAAUGGGAGAAAGCCCUGGGAAAGGAGUUCGUAAUCCAGCGGAAAGAUAAGGUGCAGAUGAAGAUUGAAGGAAAUGAUACUGAAAGAAUGUGGUAGUGUCCCCUUUGCCUCUAAACAAGAGACAAGAGGAUGUUGUUUCCCUGACUCUUGAAUUA